AAGACACAGGGAAGAAACUCGGCACAGUUAGAGUGCAGGGUUGAGGCUGGGAUGCUGCUAGAAUGCAUGCAGAGGUGGCCGUCUGCUCCUUCCUUGUCCUCCCUUUGCACACACUCUUUGUGUCAAAGAGGACACAAGUACAACUUCAGAAGUCACCACUCAGGUACCAGCUCUGACAACUCUGAAGGAAGACCUUGGUCUCACUGCGUAAAACUAGUGACGUUAAAUUUGGCCAUAGCCCUUCCUGAAGGGAAAUGGAUAUAAGAAUACUACCUAUCCCCAUGGAAUUGUUGCCCGGAUCAAAUAAUUUGAGAACAUAUGAUGUGAAUUUGAAAUGACCAAGAUCACUGCAUAAAACAUGAAUAAAUUUUCUAUCAUGACUUGAGGAAAAUGGGGCAUCUCUGAGUCAUGAAAUGAAGUGAUCCUUGAAGUAAAAUCAAGUAUUUGAGGAAGGUCAUGCUGGUGGAAGCUGAAAAGACUAAUUCAUAAACCAUGAUGUGGGCUCAACAGAUUGGAACGUCACACAGCUGAAGAAUAUGUGUAAUCAUUAUAGGACAUUUACACCACCUCCAAGUGACUCUGGGACCUCCUGAACUAGUUUUGAAAGAAAGCUCUGAGGUGCUUUUCAUACUUCUCCUCAGCAUUGAGGUGACUGCAUCACAAAAUUUAAAUUUAUGCCACGAAGUGAGAAAGGGACAUUCUUCCUAAAGGAGCCAUCAAAAAAGCUUCCAGAAAUAUCCGGCUCAUUCCUGCGCACUGCUCUGUCAGCUAAUCAUCAGUUGGUCAAGAUCUGUCUUGGGCCAUUGUGUUUUCUUUUCCACACACACCUUCAACCAAAGCCAUUAAAUGCAGCCCAACCAAAGGGUUAAAGCAGAUGUAAGCGGAGUCAUCUGCACAUCCAACGAUUAAAAAAUUCUCAACCGGGUGCCAUUUUAUCAUCCUCACAGGGAAAAGGUGCUUGCGGGCAUGCAAGAGGUACCUCUUCCCCUCAAGGUGAAGGAGAGCCACGGAAUGGUCACUGCACACACAGCAGAUGACCUGGUCACUUCUUAGCUGUGGGGGGAAAAAACAAAAAACAAAACAAAGUGUUAUUUGACUUCUUCAUAUAACACUCUGAAGAGGAGCUUUAAACACCACGCGGACUUUAAACUCAACAACUCAUUAGGAAAGUCAAGAGACACAAGUGAAAAAGGAGAAUUCCAAGCCAAAUCUACUUAUAAGAUAAAUGAAGGACCUGACCAUCACUCAGCAAAUUCAGGCAGUGAGGCAGACAUCGGAAAUAAUGCAGAAUAAAAUAAACCCCAGAACUAAUUUGUUGCCACAAAAAGAAGCUAUUUGUAGACACAAGCUUAGGCCCAAGGGUAUCAUGAGCUGAUAUUUUCCACUUAAAGCCUCAGAAUGUGAUUUGGUGCUGUUCCCAGAACUAUUCAGAUUCUAAUCCAAACAGGAAACUCAGUGUAGACACAAUCUAAAAGAGAGAAAGUGCUGGAGGUGCAGAGAAGUUAAGCGACUUGAAUCCAAGUGUAAGAGAGCACAGCAUAAUGCUUGAGAGCAGAGUUUUGCUGUGAGACGAAUCCAGCUUUGGUCUUCUAGAUGGGUCGCCACGACAAAUUGCUUUUCCCCUCUAAGUCACAGAGUGACCCCCAUGUAACAGAAGAAUGCCACUAAGAGCAGAACUACAUUGAAAAUCAUUAUACUGUCAAUAUUACACCUUCCUAUUUCGAAACAAGUAAGGAGCCAGCUUUCCUUCAUUACGGAAUCUGAUUUCUCUACUAUAUCCAGAAGAUACAGCAAGGCAAAAGUUCCAAGAGUUUUGCUAAUCCACAACAAAUGCCUGGUUGUCACUCUUGAAAUGUACCAAUGACCUGGGUCAUGGAAACAGUGUCCUCUUUUCAUUUCAUCUCGACCUCUUGCUGACUUUGUAAUGACUUGAACCACUGACAUGGGUGUUCUCAGUUUUCUUGAUCUGGCUUAGAGAACUGUCCUCAGUGUCAUAUAAUAGCCAACUCUUACCUUGAAUUCUCAUGGAGUGAACAAUGCACAUGCAGUUGAUCCAAUCAGGAGACUGAGAUGAUAUAAAAGUGUGAAUAACAUCCAAGCUUUUGGCAUCAAUGAUAAGAACAUCUUGAUAUUCUCCACAACACAAAAGCCAGCCUUCCCCAGUCAUCCGGAAUGAGCAGUGGUUUUGGUCCCAGAAAGGACUUCAUGAAUAUUGCAGUGCAAGUCAUCAAUGCCAAAAGCAAUGAGUGAAAUAUAAAAAAUACUGUAAGCACCACUGGCAUAAUGCAAUGCCUUACCUAUAUGUUGGAGUCCAUCUACCAAAAGCCAAAAUCCGUUUUAAAUAUUGGGAGAUGAUUAUAAAGAUUACUGAGCAAGAAAAUGUUGUGGUCAUUAGCAGGGAUGACAUACCGUAUCUGUGUCUUUCUGUUUGGGUAAUUACACCCUGCUGCCAGCCUACAAACCUUACUUCAGCGCCAACCUGACCUAAACCAAAUUGUGUGGAUCCAGCUAUCACAGUCUGUUAGAGUGACAAUACAACAAUCUCAUGGAAACCGCAUCCUCUUGAAAAUGGUUUAUUUCACUGAACUUAAACUACAUAUUCUGAAAAGCAUAAUGCAUCAAGAGCUGCGUCUUCUGGAGGUGAGGUAUCAUUUUUAUAAAAAUAAA